rnacentral:lncRNA from 1 species
AUAAUAAUAAUAACAGCUGAUAUUAAGGGAGAACUUACUAGAAGCUAAGCAUUCUUCUAUGCUUUUUAUAUUUAUUUUAUUCAUUCAACCCCAACAGUUAUAUGGAGUUGCACUAUUAUUAUUAGCUCCCAACUUAUAGAAAAGGAAACUGAAACACAUGUGUGUUGAGCAAACUGUGAUAUGUAGGAAGACACAGAGCUGAUUCUGAACCCCGGCAAUGUAGCUGAGAGUGUGCAAUCUAAACCACCAGUAGCACUGCCUCCAAAUCCAGUGAAGUGAAGGCAAAUCCUGCUGUGGCCAAACCACGAAUUUUUCUAGAGACUCCAGUCCCUAGGCUCCUGCCAAAAACCUCAAGGACUCAAAAUGGAGCCUCAAAAUAAUCCAUCAAUAGUAUUUAGGAAAUACUCUUUACACACAGAGUACUUUAUCUAUUACUGGUCUCAAAGACACACCUCAUUCAUUGGGUUACCAUUACUGAGGUAAUUUUUAAAUUACCUCAGAAUUUAAUUUAAUUUAAUUUUAAAAUUACCUCAGUAGAUAAAUAAUGUAAGAGACAGGCAAAAUACACAUAAAAUCUCUUUUUUUCUCUCUGUCUUUUAAAUGGGCCUGGUAUUGAACAAAUAGAGUGUAUGGGUUUUUCUUCCAAAGUACUAUAUACUGCUUGAGAGGAUAAAAGAGAUUGAAAAAACUUUGUAACAGAUAUUACAACUGUAAUGCAAAAUUCACGCAUAUGUACAGAAACCUCUAUCACGUUCCAACUCUAAUACCACAUCACAUUCAAAGCAAAGCAUAUUUGAUAAGACAAACCACAAGUCUUACAGAUGGAUAUAGGGAGACUUGGUCCAUCCUGGUGUUUGGGUGAUGGAUGCAUUAAAAGCCAAGACUUCGCCACUGUGCAAUACAUGCAGCUAAAAAGCAGUACCCCCAAAUUAAUAUAAAUAGAUAUAAGCAUGUAUGUGCAGGUAAAAAGCAGUACUCCCAAAUUAAUAUAAAUAGAUAUAAGUAUGUAUGUGCAGGUAAAAAGCAGUACUCCCAAAUUAAUAUAAAUAGAUAUAAGUAUGUAUGUGCAGGUAAAAAGCAGUACUCCCAAAUUAAUAUAAAUAGAUAUAAGCAUGUAUGUGCAGGUAAAAAGCAGUACUCGCAAAUUAAUAUAAAUCCAUACGUGGAGGUAACAAAACAGUACUCCCAAACUAAGACAAAUAAAAAUAAAUACAUGCAUACAUUUUGGGCUACAGCUCCAAACUACUCUGCAUUAUCCCUAUGCCAACAAGACUAAAUUACAAGAUGUCAGCAAGCUCAUUUGUCUUUUCACAGUUUUCUCAUCUAAAAUGGUAAUAAUCAAACCUACCUUACUUAGUUUACAGCUAUGCUUUGAGAGUUUUUAAUGUGAAAUAUAAAUAUAUAAAACAUAUACAAGUUCAGUGAGUGUCAAGGUUUCUACAUAUGUUACAAAAAAAGGUGAAGUGUCAUGCAAACACAGAACAGAAACACAAGCCCAUAAGUCUAGCCAGAGAAAUCCAGAAGAAAAAAAGCCUACUGAAGAGAAACUAUCUUAUAUCUAAUCAAGCUUUCAAAAUACAAUAACUACAUCAUGAUAACUGACAAGGCAUUUGUGGGAGGAAGGGAGUGUGGGUCGCUUCUUUAUUACCUACACCAAAAAUAUAAAAUUACAAAUUAUAUAUUUAAACAUUUAAAAAAUACAACUACAAUCAGAAAGCAUGACAGUUAUUUUUCCUUUUUUUCCCAAUUAUCUUGAAUAAGUAUACAUCAUAAGCCAAGUUGCAAUUCUCGAAAGUUAAAAAGCAAAACAUAGAUAAAUUGUAUUACCUAUUUAGAAAAAUUUACACUCUAAGAAACACUUUUGGCCAGGUGCGGUGGCUCAUGCCUGUAAUCCCAGCCCUUUGGGAGGCCAAGGUGGGUGGAUCACCUGAGGUCAGGAGUUCACAACUAGCCUGGCCAACACAGUGAAAGCCCUUCUCUACUAAACAUACAAAAAUUACAUAGGUGUGGUGGUGCACACCUGUAAUCCCAGCUACUCGGGAGGUUGAGGCAGAAGAAUAGCGUGAACCCGGGAGGCGGAGGUUGCAGUGAGCCGAGAUCGUGUCACUGCACUCCAGCUUGGGUGACAGAGUAAGACUCUGUCUCAAAAACAAAACAAAACAAAACAAAAAGAAACACUACUAGCAAAGUCUAAAAAAUAAUAACAAUAGUAGAAAAAUUCAACAAGACAACUGAAGGCUACCUUACUUAAUUUUUUUCUCAAAAAAGUGGCAAGAAAAACCUGUAGUAAAAGAAAAAUAUGUAAUGACUUGAAGAAACAGUUCACAGGAAAAUGCAUGAUUUACAAGCAAGUGAUAUAAACAUUAGAAAUGUUUUCACUGAUGAUUGAGGUUAUAAAAAUUUAAAUAUAAAGAUAUUUGCUUUUCCAGAUAGGUAAAUAGUGAAAAGUGUGGUAAUAUCCAGAGC